AUUUUAAGUAUUGUAACGACUACUUACUUACCAUCAGUAAAGCGCCUAGUGAAGCACGGAUCAUCUUACUUUCGGACAAUCAGGUGAUUAACCUGUAAUGUUAUAACCGGGAUUCGAACCCGAAACCUCCGGAUCGUGAGCCCAACGCUCAACCACUGGAUCACAGAGCUGGAGGUCAUUACGGUUGUAUGGUAUAGUUGUAAGACUCGCGACGCCACAAAUAACGUCGACGAACUUCGUGUACUCGUAUCUAUCGGGUCUAAUAGAUGUUUGGUGAAUGAUUUUGUGAUUUUAUAGCCAAAGUCAAAUUCAAAUUCAAAAAUAUCUGUUUAUGACCAAGUCAACCAUAAAUAUUUUUAUACUAUAAUAGUUUUUUGGAUUGUCUAUAUGGUUAGUUAAGAAAAACUCAAUGUUAUAAAAUGGUGUAAGUUUUUUCGUGCCAUAAAAUAAAUAUUGUGAUUCUAUAAAUCCGCCUGUUUUCUAUGUUGCCCUCAUCAAGCUACUGGAAGGACUUUAAGAUAUAUAUAUGUAGGGCACAAUAUCUUUAUUCAGUAGGUAACAUAGUUACACUUUGAAUCGUCAAUUUUUACAUAACGAACGUCUCAUCCGCCUAAAACUACUGCAGCUUCUCACAACCUGUAUAGCCGGGGAAAAGAAGCUGCAAGAAAAACCUCGGCACAGGGCCCUAGACGUUCUUUAAAAAUAAAUAAAAAUAAACAUAAGCCUUCUAUAGGUCAAUAAGAAGACCGCGAUAAUUAUCGCGUCCUAACGUCAUUAUCAUUUUGAAAGCCGGUUUAAAUGUGCCAAUGCGCUGUCACUCGCCUCGUGUUCAGAGUUGUCAAAACAACUUCUUGGCGCGAACGACGACCGAGCGACACUAAGUAGUGCUGUUAAACAACAAUUUCAAAAUAAUAGUCGAUAACGGAACGCAGCGAGAGACUUUCCAGGCUACGUUCACCAAAAACAAUAAAGAUCAGAUUUAACGUGAUAAUUACCUAUUUUCUCAUUGCUCGAGGUACAUAAUUAUACAUUAUAAUAAUUGUUACUUGAUAUAUGGAUCAGAUAGGUAUGUAGCAGAGUACAAACUCUGCACAUACUGGCCUUUUGUUCGGACCAUCAUCAUUUUAAAUUACGAAAUUCUCAUUCCAUUCCAUUCGCAUUUCCUUUCAUUUUACUCACUUUUGACUCACUGCAUCCCUGACCUUCAUAUAAACAACAAGUGUAUUAUACUGUUUAGGGCCGUGCCCUCUGAAACCCUCCUCAGUGCCCUCCUUUUGUGAAAUGUGUAUAUUGUGAACUAUUAUUUUUGUGACUAUGUUACUAAGUUUGUGAAGUGUUUUUAAUAAACUAUACUACUACUGCU